CCUACGGGGGGCUGCAGUGAGGAAUAUUGGUCAAUGGGAGAGAUCCUGAACCAGCCAAGCCGCGUGAGGGAAGACGGCCCUAUGGGUUGUAAACCUCUUUUGUCGGAGAACAAAACCCGGGACGUGUCCCGGACUGCGUGUAUCCGAAGAAAAAGCAUCGGCUAACUCCGUGCCAGCAGCCGCGGUAAUACGGGGGAUGCGAGCGUUAUCCGGAUUUAUUGGGUUUAAAGGGUGCGUAGGCGGUCCGUUAAGUCAGCGGUAAAAUUGCGGGGCUCAACCCCGUCGAGCCGUUGAAACUGGCAGACUUGAGUUGGCGAGAGGUACGCGGAAUGCGCGGUGUAGCGGUGAAAUGCAUAGAUAUCGCGCAGAACCCCGAUUGCGAAGGCAGCCUGCCAAGCCAUGACUGACGCUGAUGCACGAAAGCGUGGGGAUCAAACAGGAUUAGAUACCCCUGUAGUC
rnacentral:rRNA from 1 species